UUUAUAGUUUGAGACGGUCAUCUGGUACGAUCGUCUGUCUGAAAUGGAUCGAAAUUAUUAAAGGUCGAAACGUUUAAAUCGGCUAUGCUUGUUUGGACUGUACGUGCUAUAAUAUUCAGCUUUCUCUACGAGUUGUUACUCGAACAGUGGGAGAAAGGAAAGGUCUGGUUUAAAUCUAAUCAGCGAUUCAUAAAGGUACAGUUGUCUCUUUGUUAUAUCGUUCGUAUAGAGUUCGUGGAAAUGGAUGGACGCGCCGAUAGAAUAGCAAAAUUGCGGCAAACUUCACGCAGACUUUUCGCGAACGGAUCAUGGACGGCAAGCAUUUUCCAAGAGUGCGCAGCCGCGGCUUAUCAUUGCCCUGCCAUCAUGGAACCGUGUAUUCGCGUCGAGGUGAGCGGCCAAGCCAUAUCGCGCCGCGCCGCGCCGGCCGUUCCGUCUUUCGCGAUCUAGACACUGGCUGAUUGGCCAGUCCUCGUUGCACAAUUUCGAACGCUGCACCAAUCGCAACAGUUGACUAUGCAGCUUCUAAACGCGAGCGGCAAAUCCGUAAAACCUCAGUUUUCUCGGAUACGAUACCCUCGAGAGGGCUGUUUAAACCAAGCUGCAGGUUGUCUUGCACGACGAAUCGAUCAGCAAAAGAUACGCGAGGAUGAUGAGAGGGUCAUAGAGACAGCAAUCCAUAAAUUUUACAUAAUGUUUAUUAUUUAUAGUGUACUCAGAAAUGUCGGGCCUCAACCAGUGGGCCUCCUCUUUUUUUUUUCUUUUGACAUAUUUGAUCAGUAAACAUCACAAUGUUAAUUUUCCUCCAGUUCGUACAGUUUUUAUUUCCUCUUUCUCACUCUCUCUUUCUUUUUCUCUAUUAAAAGCGACGCGCAAGCUGCUCGUAUUGAUUCGUGAAUCGUAUAAGAGUGAUUUUUUACGCGUUUUGAUUUAAACUCGCGAUUAAAUCGAAAACAAGAAAAUGUUUCUUUUCUUUCGUUUCUUUUCGACCAAGGUAAAAACAUUGUCGAGAAACAAGUCAACUUUGUUAAUCCGUUACGAGCAGAUUGUGCCUCACAAAAAAUAGAUAAUUAUCCAGGUUCGAGGUUCUUGGUUCUCCAUCCAUAAUUCAACAUGCCAGCAUAUUCGUAUAACAAAACGUCGAAUGUAACAACUUCAUAGAAAAAAAAAAACAAAACAACAAAAACACAAAGAAAGGUCUACCUUUAUCGUCAACUGUUCGAGGUAAUGAAUUUCGAUUUGCGAGUUCGAUGGUUGAUAAUAUACGUAUCUGUAUGUGUGAAUACACAUACAUACAGGUGUAUAUAUAUAUAUAAAUACCCACACACACACACACACAUAUAUACCACGUAUAUACCUAUACGUAUUCGAGUGAGAAUGUUUUCGGUAUGAACGUAACUUAGAAUUAGAAACUUCGCGUAUUACAAAAGUUGUCGUCGAAUUUGAACUCGAUUUUGUUGACAGUUAGAAAAAACGCACCCUUAUUUAAUAAUCACACACACACACUCUCUCUCUCUCUCUUUUUCUGUUUCUCUUACUCUUUCUUUUCAUUUUAUUCUUAUUUCCAAUAUCGGGCCGACAUUCGAGGAGCUUCUAAAUGUGUAGGGCAUAAAAAUAGGACAAAAAGGAUUCGGGAGUUAACCAGGGGAUGGACGAGGGGGCAGGGGUAUCGGGAUAGGGGACUGACUUUCCUUUUCUCAUUUUAUUUGUAUUAUAGUGACCAACCACCCCCACUGUACACGCUUCUGCUCGACUCAUCGUCCUUUUCGUGGACAUUGAAAAAUUAGGAUACGCACGAGCGUCGAGCGCGAAGAUUGAAACACGAAGAGCAAAGAUUCCGUGUAGAACGGGAAACUUGAUUUUUUUUGUUAACGUCGAUAAAUCGAUUCGUUGCACGCUUUCUAUUCCUCGUUUCAAUCUUCGAUUCGACGAAUUAAAAAAUUUACCGCGGCUCUGUCGUCGAACGGUCGAGAUCGUUUGUUCGGAACAAGAAUGAUUUCUUCUUUUGCGAAAACUCGACAGCAAUCGAAUGCGAUUCGUUCGAUGACAGAUCCAGCGGCCGCACGCUAAUAAAAUCGGCGCGGAAGCGAUGGUGGCGCGUGGGUACAUUUCUUUCUGUCAAGUUCUCGUUAGAUGAGGAAUCGAGGGUGGAGGGUGAGUCGAUAUUCGAAAAAAUCUUGGUAAAAAUAUGUGCUUGCGGACCCCGCGCCACUCGGCUCACCGACGCUUCUGGCCCACCUUAAUUAAUUCUCUUAACCUCCGUAAACACUUCGUCCAGCCUUCACGCUAUACGAAAUGACCGUUACAGUAUCAUAUUAUAUGUAUAUAAUAUAUAAUAUAUAUAUAUAAUAUAUAUAAUACAUAUAUUAUAUUCUACAUUACAUUACUAUGUUCAAAAAAUAAUAUUACAAUAUAUAUAUAGUGUGUGUUGUUAUGUGUAUUAUCAUUUUUUUUCUUUUUUUUUUCGUUAUUAUUCUUAUUUUCCUCCUCACCUCCGCGAUAGUGUACGCCUCUUACAUUAUCGCUUGUUUUCACUCUCGUUUUGUUCACUUUGUUUGUUUGUUUGUUUGCUUGUUCGUUUGUUUGUUUGUUUGUAUGUUUGUUUUUUCCCUAUUUUACGCGCGGUAGUACCUAAAAUUUACAAUUAGUUUAUUAAUCGACGAUUCGAUGCUGCUGAGAGCGCUGGUAAACCUAUGAUGAGAGAAGACUUACACGGUACAAAGCGACGGCUCGAAGUUUGCGUUUUCCCGAUUCUUUGAACGGUUGUAUAAAAUUAUUCUAUUCUCGCGGGGUAGUAGGUCUCGAUAUAAACGGCGCUUUCCAUCGUUAUAAAAUUCGUUUCGCGUGACAACAAAUCGCGCCAAACAGCCCAAAACGGUCGCCGAUCGUCUUUGGCUCUUCCUCGCGACGAUCAGAGAUGGGCAAAACUUUAUUCACGCUAUACGCGGCGAAUAGGAACGUAUCGACAAUUAAUGUAAAAAGUUUCGGACCGUUUAAUCGUUACUCGGAAUGUUUGUCCUUUCGGUUGUCUUGGAAUUUUGCGAUUUGCAAUUGUUCAGAGCUAAUAGAAUCCGACUGUCCCAUCUCCGACGACGAUAACAUCAACGAACGACCGCUCUGUCCGUUCUUCACCACGGAAUGCCCUAUAAGAUUUAUCUUCAGCGUGAAACGUGUCGCUUCUCUCAGCAGUACGCGCGUCACGUUUACCAAAUCCAUUUGGUGUGGUUGUGUGGAUGUAAAACCGCUAGGCGCUUCUUCUUCUCUUUCUCUUCGUUUAAUUUGAAUAACAACCAUUUUUUUUAUUUUUUAAUUUGUUUUACUAAAUAUAUCACAAACUGCCGGUGGCUAGUGCAGCCCUCGGAUUCACGUCGAACGCGUCAAUGUUGCUCGGUAUCGGCGAGUUGGUCGUCUUCGGGGACCGAGGACUCCGAGAUCCGAUCCGUUUGUUUCGAGACAGCGUUCGCCGUGAACGUUUGGGCUACCACCGGAAAAAUAUAACGUUAAGGGGUUACAUGUUAAUAGUUACAUCACUGUCGGAAGACGCAAGCUUCCGGAGGGUUCACGGAUGGACAGUCUUGCUUGCAGAAGCGCUCACCGGGAACCCUUCGGUCUUGUCCCCAACGUACGGUUAGUUUAAGUUUGUCGAACUAGUAAUUUUCCGUUUAUCAUGCUGCCACAGAAGAUUCUCUUUACUCGUAAAACUGUAAAUACCUUUAUAAAUCCAUGACCUUAAAGUAUUACGUAAUUUUCGUUUACCUUCUUUUUUUUCUGUUUUCGGUUUUUCUUUCGCGUCGUUUUAAUAAAAUCUCGCGGAUGCCCAAUGGAUCGAUACCGAAUUUACGCGUUCCUUCUAUCGAUUGUUUCUUCUUGCUCUCGGUUUUCUAGGUUUUCGUUCGAUAAUUUUCUCUUUAGAAAACUUGUAGUCAAGGGGGGCGACCGUGUUAUUAUAUCGGAAGGACAUGACAGGGGCGAGGUUAGGACAGAGGAGAUCAAGCCAUCUUCAAACUAUACAACGACGUAAGUUGAUUACACUGAAAUUGUUUGUUCACGAGGCUACAGGCAUCGGUUGCUAAUACCGCGGAAAAAGGAUUACUCUAACAUUUAGUGGGCAAUAUAUAUGCGUGACCCAGAGAAAAAGUGUUGAAACGAAGGUGCCCUCGCGUUGCGCUAGUCGCGAGCGCUCCGAUUACUCUCGCUGCUGUACCGUAUCGUAUGUGAUUAAACCGUGUUGGAACAAUUUCGAACAAUUAAAUACUGUAUAACUAUCGCUAUUAUUUUGCAAUCGCGUGAUUAAUUAUUAAUUACACCAAUUGCUAUUUGCGCAAAGGCAACGCCGUAGAGCAUGUUAGACGCAGCAGGAACAAUCGGGACACUGAUACAAAACGAGGGCAUCGAAACUAGCGUUCAGCAAAAGUGGCACGUCGUUAAUAUCCUAAGCGGGAUCGACUACAUCUCUAAGAGUAUAGACACGUGGCGAUAAAUAUACGUAUAGUAGUAACAUUCUACACUUAGCAUAGCUCAGGCGUGCGCGCUUGUAUACGUAUGAAUGACCAAGAACACGUAGCCAAACUUUAUGUGGAUGUGCGUGGGUGCGCGCGCGCGCGCGCGCGUGUGUGUGGACAUGUUUGUGUACGUGUUUGUGGAUUACAAAGGGUCUAUAAAAGCGUUUCGCGAGAGGCGCGUCAGCUCACUUAUAAGCAGGAGGUGAAACCACGAGCGCGCUUCAAAUUGUUCGUAGCGUCGAGUAUUGGAUUAAGGAAUAAGGAUUAUAGGUUUAACUGUAUCCGUCGUUAUAUAACGGGAAACGCUUCUACUUCCUAAAUAGUGUAUAAGAAUUUCAACGUCUUGUAGUUCACGUGGGAUCAAACAUCUCUCCGUCGAUGAAUCAGUUCACGGUAAUUGUUCGCUUUUCUAAAGUGUCGCUAAGACCAGAACAAGCUGAGGGGGUUAGAAGUUUGCCGCGUUGAUCGGUCAAACGAGUGUAUCAAUCGUAACGAAGAUCCGGGGAAGGGUUACGGGUCUCGGGUCUCGGGUCUCGGGUCUCGGUAAUAUGUAACGGGGUGGGAGUUGAAGGAGAGGGGCAGGCGAGGAGGGAGUCUCCUCCAUGUUUUCGUUUCUUUCUUCGAAAUUUCGAAAUUUCUCGAUGGACGUCUCCUCUGCAAUCUUUCUUCUGUGCCGCGGUUAACCCUUUUACCAUGGACGACGUAUACACACAUGUCAUCGAACGGUAACCGUGAUUUAAGAAUUUAACGCAUUCACUUUUGUAUCCUGGGUAGAGACAAGGUUCCGUCGCGAUUCGUGAAUGGGUCAAGGGCGAGUGAACGCGCUAAACUGUUCGGAUCUCUUGUAAAUAGACAGCGAAAGGGUUAAGCACGACACGAUGGCGUUUGAAUUGUUUUCGAGGCAGGCGUGCAGGUGUCCGUGGCGUGAAAGAGUUCACGCCGGUGAGCAAAAAUGGAAUCGGAUUUAUUCUCGCCUUAAAGCGCUCGCAAGGAUUCGAGCGAAGCGAUCGGUUCGAUGAGAUUUUCCUCUGUUUAUUUUUCCAUUUCCGGUAAAUAUUCUACGUCGUCUAAACCAUUUUUAUUUAGUUUUUUUUUUUCGUUUGCUCGAUUGUUUACCAUAGUUGUCUUCGCCUACUUUGACAGAUGAGACGCUUCGCCGUCGCCAAGACAUAGACGUUUUUCCGUAACGAGGACGGAUGUUUUCAGACUAAGACUAGAAAAAUACUAGCGCCUUUCUAGAAACGAUUCAGAAACGACAGCUCCGAUUCACUUUUAUCGAAUGCUGUCACGUUCGGAGCUUUCUCGAGCUCCUCGAUCGGGGUACGAAUGAAAGAGUUCUCUUCAGCGGAGCAGCCGUUGACAAGUAUUUCGAAUAGAUUCUGUCGUUCGUCGGAUCUUACAAUCAACAGCGUACGCGAGGCGAAGAGUCGAUAGACCAGCGGCAGAGGCACACGGCGUGUGUUGCUCCUGGCUCUAACCGACCAAAAUAGCUGAAGACGAAUAUAGCACAUUUCUGUAAUAAUAGUUAUAUUAAUACUAAGCGUUUAACUCUUUUUCUCGUCGCGGUUUUCGUAAAGGGACAAGAAGGAGAAGCCGAGGGGUCCGGGGAGGGAUGUGAGGGUGGCGGGUACAAGAGGAAGCGGGAACUCAGGGAAAACGUAAACGAAACAGGCAGAUCCGAACGAGUGUUGGACCGUUCAGGAUCCUCGGUUAGUGGAAACGGAGAGUGGUGUCUUCGGUAACCGUAUACGCGUAGACGGCAAAUUCUGUUUCUGCUCGUCCGUGUUUAUAAGGAGAAAGGGGGUAUUAAAAAUUCUCUAUCGCUACGAGAAGCUUACUAGGCGUAGGCUGGAUACACUAACAUGCACGAUUAGUCGACUGGUAAAAGUUCUCUCGUCUACUAUCCGCUAAGAUCGUGUUACGUACGCUACCAUGUAUCGCUAUGUUUAAUAAUCUAAACUCGAAAAAUACUAUUAGUCUUCGUUAGCUUAGUUCGAAAAAUGUUAAUAUUCGAUGGCCGGCGUCGAGCUACCGACGUCGGACGCCUUUUAGUUUCAUUCUUUUUUCUUUUGCUUGACCUAGAGAAAGUCGUUCGGAACGUUUACCUAGACGAUUUCCGGGUUACGGGUUUUGAAAUUGUAAAGAUACACGCAUAACGGGUCUGUUCGCGUUUCGUCGACGAUCCGUGGCGCGGAUCGUCGUGCCAUCCGUUUCUACAACUACCGCGACAAUCAUUUUUCUUUUCGUCUCGUCGUGUUUUGCGUAUGUCGUCUGGAGAGAAAAUCGUCUGUUUCUUUGCCGGAAAAUGUCUGUGUAUACAGUAGUAUUCUGAGUAAAAGGAACUCUCUUGAAGAAUCGCGCGUAGCGUUGAGGGAGCGUCUGCCCGAACAAUACAUCUAUAUAUCAUUUUUAUAUAUGAAUAAUACAUAUCGUGUGUCCGUCUCUCUGUGUGUGUGUGUGUGUAUCUGUGUGUGUAUCUGUGUAAGCACAGUACGUGCCCCGUGCAUACGUGGGCGCGUAUGGGUCUACGUGUAUACAUGUGUACGUAUAACGAAAACUCCAGUUAUUUUAAAUCGUGUUCCGUGAACCGCGUUCAAGUUCUCAUACUUCUCUCGUCGAUAUUCCUUUCCCGUCGAUCUUUAUCCAUCCAACGAGGAAAACACACCUCGGGCAACGGGAGAAUCUCGCUCUGCAGAGAUACACGGUUACUCUUCUUAAACCCGUUCGUUCUCGCGUCUACCUCUAUCGACUAUUCGUCUAGCGCGAUCGAGCUUAGCGUUGUAUGCAACCAAGGAGGCUUGUCCGACUUUUAGUUACGAUAUCACCGUACACGGUCCACUUACGAGUUAUGCUGUAGAAUAAAAGUCAAAAAUAUAUUAUAUGUAUAUAUUCAUAUAUAUAUAUUCGUUUCUGUUGUACCUACUAUAUUCUAGUGUAUCGAGAAGCAUGUACGCUCGAGGUUCGUUCACGACGCUAUUUAGACACGUUGACGUCUUCGCGACACUCUUCGACUGCGACCAGCCGAAAGUCAUUCGAAUGUGCGCGCCGCCAACAGUUAGCCUGGUUACAUGUUGAACUAGAACUGAAUCCCGUCGUACCGUCUUGCGCCUUACAGUUUACAGUUAUACGCGUUUAGCUUGAACAAAAUUCCCAUCGGUCGCUGCGCUCCGUUGCGGAUUUAUUCGUUUUUUCGUCGGUUAGCGGACAAGCUUGUCCCUGGCGUGGACGGUCUGUUAGUGUAUUAUUUUCGGUAUAUCCGUGCUCCCGUUUUCGUAUCGCGUUUUUCUGUCUCGUCGUCCCGCUCUUGUAUCUCGCGCCCCUUUACUCCCCCGCGAGUCCUUUCAAUUCGGUCGACGCUUACCAGGCGCGGGGUAAUGGCAACGAUGACCAAUGCGCGUUCUAUCGCGAGCCGUGGACGGGUUAUCCGAACAAAUCCGAUCGGACGUUCGUGUCGGCAAUUUCGGAUGGGCUCGGUUCAGUCGACGGUAGACAAUCCGAUUAAACGUACCAAAAUAUCCAAACAUCCGGCCUAGCUUUCGUUCGAAUAGCCGAUGGCCGCGCUUGCGAAACUCCAAACUCGAAACCGUCUCUCUGCAGAGCGAGCACGAGACCUCUCGAAAUUUCGUCCUUUUUGUUCUUUCUAUCCUGAACGCUUUCCUUUCUCCGUCUGCGAGGGUUCGCUCACUCUCAACCCUUUCCGUUCGUUCUCUCGGCAGAGUCAAAAAUGCAUUGCGCGCAAGAAGCUAGGUAGGUACACGCGAGCAUAUAUUUUCGGCCAACCGAACGAUGGAACGCACGAGAACGAGAAAAGGAUCUACUCGUAAACAUUCUCCACUUUGGAAAUCUAGCCAAGUAGUCUGCUGCGACUACGUCCAAAGUUGUCGGACCAAAGUACGUUUUAACGUUUUCAAGCGAGAGUUGCGAAUGGAAGACUCCAACUGGUAUCACUGGUAACAUCGUACUAGACAUUUUUGUAAGAAUUUUUCAACCGAUUACGCGUACUGCCGUAUCUUUAACUAAACGUCGAUUGUAGUCGCAGCUCCUUGCGAUGUUGUAUCGAAAAUUCGCGUUCCCCUUGCAACGAGUGGAUCCUAAUCAGGCAUCGUAGCCAAGUUUUACUAGCAAUUUUUGCGACUAAUUUCGAAACAGGUAUAUCUGCUGCUCUAUCUACUGUAUCUAAUAAGAUAAAGCUGUUGUAAAUGUCCAUGCAUAACUUGAACUUGGUUAGGAUAGAAUUCACGUUAACUACCGUAUGAUCUUUCGAUCUGUCAUCUGUAGCAAAAAGACGAAUCGAAAUGCAAAGGCAAACGAAAGACGAAGCACAGCUAACACCAACCCGUCCACUCGAAAUCUACGUUUUUCGUGCGAACCAAAGACGUUCGUUGGCCACGCGAAGCAGCAUUAUUCUUUUUCUCUUUGAAGCGAUAGCAUAUAUAAAUCGUCGUAUGAACCCAUUGUCGCCGAACGAGACAGGUUUCGAUUUUCACCUCUCUUCAACGAUAUCUCUAGGCACGACGACAUGGCGUUCAAGCGACCGAACUCUGCUUGAUUUACAAAUAAUUUUUACCGCUUUGUGAUUGCUUGCUGCAGCAGCUAAAACCCUUGACUCAAGUUGGGGAAGCUUAAACUCCGGUGGGAUUGUCGCAUUAUUUUCAUCGUGUUUCGUUAUCUCUUUCGUUUCAUAUAUUAUUAUUAUUUUUUUGUUCAUGUUUAUCUUAUCCAUAUGCGUAUACGUAUUUAUACACACAUAUAUACGUAUACGCAUAUCUUUUUCACAUUUUUUUAGAACGGCUUUCGUUUUAAUGUUCGCGACAAUGGAGCAGCGUCCGUGGCUGUCACGGUUUUCCUCUCCUCUUUACUCUUUCUCUCCUUCCGUACUGGCGUAAUUAACAUUAUUUAGUUAUAAUACUUGGUGUGUGUUUAACUAGAACGUUUGGUAUCGAAGGGAAAGACGAGUCUCGCCUCGCUACUCGAUCUCGUUCGUUCGAAAUUCUAUUGCGCGACCGAACGCGAUUCGCUUUCUCUCUAAUUGGAAAUUUAUUCGUAAACGAGACGUUCUAAGAACUCUUUUCUGUCUUCUACUCUUCCAUCGUGUUUCGAGACGCGGGCAAACCAUCGUUCUCGGUUACUCCGAUCUCGCGAAAACGAAAUAAACAGCUUUGCUAAAAGACUGGCAGCAAUUGGGACGAAUUCGAAUAUAUCACACACUCGCGGUAUUUCGUACAAUUUUAUACGUAUAUGUAAACGGAACAAAUCUUCAGAUUCUACGGUACAAAGGAAAAACGUUCGAAAAAAUACACUCUACGAAUAAAAUUGCAAUUGAAAACGUUUCGUCGUCGUUUUCGCAUCGGUGCUAUACCGAAUCGCUUAAAUGGACAUUCGUUAAUUAUUGUACUUACUUUUAUACAUAUACCAUAUAUAUAACGUGUGUACCUCUUGUUUUUUUUUAAAUCUAAACGCUAUGUAUAUGUAUGUACAUACAUGCUAGUUGCGAGCACGAGGAACUCGUCCGUAUUCUUCCGUUUCCGUCUACUGUUUUACUUUUUUUCGGUUUUGUUCAUUUUCAUAGCUACUGAACGCAGUCGUGCGCCUCUACCUUUCUUGCGCGAAACGAUGAAAACGAAUGCGUAUCGCGUAAUUUGAUCGAAAAAGAAAAACUACACAAUCCCGUAUUCGUGACUAAAACAAACACGUGGUACAUAUUUGUUAGAAUUUCGCUAAUUUUCGAUAGAAAAACGUUCUUCGUGUCACGCUCGCGGAUCGACGAACAAAUUUCGAAUCUACGACGAUUUAGAUUCUCGAUACUUCCAUCUUCCGACCAAUGCUAUCUCGAGUCUAGCCUUAUGUACACGAGUAAUUUACAAUAUCGAACAUUCGAAUCUUUCCCCUCUAAUACCAAAAAGACAACCGAGGUAUUAAUCGAUAAACGAAAAAACGGUGUAUACAUUUCUUUUUUUGUCCAUUUCAUUUCAUUUUGUAUGCAUCGUCGAUAUAUGUGUGUCACCUUUGAUUCUUAAAUGCUGUACAGGAACAUUUACUUGCUUAUUCGUUUAAUCACUCGUUUAAUAUUUUGUUUUUUGUAUUUAUUCGAUAUUUCGUAACCGUAGCCUAUACUUAGUUUGUCGUUAGAGUACUUCGUUAUUACCUAUCCGUUUAAAUAAUUAACGCUAUCGUCGGAGUCAAUCGAUGAAACAAUCGGUGUGUCAAUUAAUAUCAAUCCGGAACAAACGUCGCGACUUGUCGUUCUCGUUGGCGCGUACGAGAAGCGAGAGAGCGCGCAAAAGACCCUGGCCCAUCGCAAAUGACUAGCUCAACAAACGCGUCUUCUCGUUUGUUACGGUCGAGCGAGCGAACGAAGAGACUCGCUUUUUAUCGGCUUGGUCGGGAAAGUAGAUGAAAGCCUUUCCUGGACGGUCGUGGUUCGUUUUAUUUUUUCCUUUCUCUUUUAUUUAUCGAAAAAAAAAAAGUAUACGACGGUACUAGCGACUACGUAUUUUGUUACUCCUAGGUUCGCGGUGUCGAUUGCACUGACUACUUUCAUCCUUUUGUUACGCUACAGGAAAAAAUUAUAUAUUUGUAUAUAUAUGAAAUUAAAUACUACGAAUACAUGGAAUACGGUAUAGAGAGUAAAAUGAAUGCAUUAGGAUAAAAAAAAAAAAAAAUACAAUAAA